ACCAAUUGUUCUAUCAAGCAAGAUAGCAAAAUUAACGGUUUAUCACAAACCGUCACAAACAAGGGUUUCACAUACCACACAAUCAAACAUAUAUACACAAAGAUAUGAGCAAUUAUAUACACCGCCAAGUCUUCACUAUUCUUGGUGGUACAAAGAAAUAACUAUCGGAGUACUCGGUAAGGGGUAUCACUCAGUAUCCCUCUUUGCACACCUCUGAAUUUCUAGGAAAUUAUGGGCGUUACGUAUCGCAGUCCCCACAACCUUUAUCAUUAAACUGGCAUUGCACUUCCCACUCCGCACAUGCACGGUCGUAAUUAUCACAUCCUUUGUCAUUCAACUGGCAUUGCACUUCCCACUCCGCACAUGCACGGUUGCAUCAAUUUCACCAUAAUUUAUUAAUAAUGCAUAUCAGCAUAAUACAAGGGUACACAGAUUCAGUACACUUAAUUUCACACAAUUUCUCAAUAAUACAUGUAGGCAUCAUACAGAUAUACACAGAUGCAUCGCAAUCAUAUUUAACAUCACAGAAAUAUUUUCACUAAAGGCUUGUUCCCGAGAUUCAUUUUUAAAUGGGAAUUAGAUAUAAUCAUUCACGCAUUUCAUUUCAACUUAAUUAGAAUUCCCAAAUAAAUUUUGAAAUGCAAAUUCACUCACAGGUGUCGAAAAUCCGGAUUCCGGGUGCACU
rnacentral:lncRNA from 1 species